AUUGAACGCUGGCGGCAUGCCUAACACAUGCAAGUCGAACGGCAGCACGGUCUAGCUUGCUAGACGGGUGGCGAGUGGCGAACGGGUGAGUAACGCGUAGGAAUAUACCUUGAAGUGGGGGACAACCUGGGGAAACUCAGGCUAAUACCGCGUCAUCUCUUCGGAGGGAAGCUGGGGACCGCAAGGCCUGGCGCCUUAAGAUUCGCCUGCGUCCGAUUAGCUAGUUGGUGGGGUAAGGGCCUACCAAGGCGACGAUCGGUAGCUGGUCUGAGAGGAUGAUCAGCCACACUGGGACUGAGACACGGCCCAGACUCCUACGGGAGGCAGCAGUGGGGAAUAUUGGACAAUGGGGGCAACCCUGAUCCAGCAAUGCCGCGUGUGUGAAGAAGGCCUGAGGGUUGUAAAGCACUUUCGGCGGGGAGGAGGGCAGAUUGGUUAAGAGCUGAUUUGUUGGACGUUACCCGCAUAAGAAGCACCGGCUAACUCCGUGCCAGCAGCCGCAGUAACAC
rnacentral:rRNA from 1 species